UUUCCGUAGGUGAACCUGCGGAAGGAUCUUAUUGGAUUUUGAAACUUCAGGCUGCUGCUGGCUCUCCUCGGAGGGCAUGUGCACGCUUGUUGUCCAUUAUUUCUCCCACUGUGCACAAAUUGUAGACCUUUCAGUAGGCCUAUGUUGUUUUUCACAAUCUCUGAAUGUAAUAGAAUGGUUUUGAAUCUUGGGAAAUACAAUACAACUUUCAGCAACGGAUCUCUUGGCUCUC
rnacentral:misc_RNA from 1 species